AUUGAACGCUGGCGGAAUGCUUUACACAUGCAAGUCGAGCGGCAGCGCGGGGCAACCUGGCGGCGAGCGGCGAACGGGUGAGUAAUACAUCGGAACGUGCCCAGACGUGGGGGAUAACUACUCGAAAGAGUGGCUAAUACCGCAUACGAUCUACGGAUGAAAGCGGGGGAUCGCAAGACCUCGCGCGUCUGGAGCGGCUGAUGGCAGAUUAGGUAGUUGGUGGGAUAAAAGCCUACCAAGCCAACGAUCUGUAGCUGGUCUGAGAGGAUGAUCAGCCACACUGGGACUGAGACACGGCCCAGACUCCUACGGGAGGCAGCAGUGGGGAAUUUUGGACAAUGGGCGAAAGCCUGAUCCAGCCAUUCCGCGUGCAGGAUGAAGGCCCUCGGGUUGUAAACUGCUUUUGUACGAGAAACGAAAAGCUCGUGGUACUAACUACCGUGGACGUACCAUGACGGUACUAGUAAGUAAUAAGCCGACCGACUAACUACGGUCGACCG
rnacentral:rRNA from 1 species